rnacentral:misc_RNA from 1 species
CGCGAACUCAACGAAGGCUUGGUUGCGGUUGGCGCCGACGUUGCACUUGGUGUUGACGAUCUUCCCAAAGGGUUUGCCGAGCUCAACGAGCUCCUCCUCGAUGCACUCCCACGGGAGGUUGCGCAGGUGGAGAACCUUCGAUGGCGUCUGGGUGUACCGAAAUUGUGGCUGCCCCGACGACGACGACAUCUCCGGGGAAGAUCUGGUCGGAUUUCACCCCUCCGAUCUAGGGUUGGAGUUUG